CCCGCUGCUCUUUAAUGGGCUUUCCAGUUCCUUCUCUUUCCACUGCCUUCUAUGGGUGUGUUUGCACAGAGAGACCAGGUUUGUGCCUUAAUACUGUGCCUGGACUCCUCCCUUCCAAACCAGAUUCAGCCAGAGAGCUGUAAAAGCCUCUCUCCGCCGCUGCCGUCUGCCACGAGACUGUGCCUGCAGCUGGCACGCUUUCACUGUUUCCACUCUGACUAGAGGGAAAAGCAAAAAUCCACAAUGUGCUGCUAUGAGAAAACGAAGUUAAAUAAAUAAAUUAAUGCAAGGGUUGGAAAAUCUCAACCGA